rnacentral:rRNA from 1 species
UGGGGAAUUUUGCGCAAUGGGGGAAACCCUGACGCAGCAACGCCGCGUGAGUGAUGAAGGCCUUCGGGUCGUAAAGCUCUGUCUAGAGGGAAGAAAAUCUCGUCGGUUAAUACCCGGGAGACGGGACGCCUUUAAAC